UCCUGGCUCAGAUUGAACGCUGGCGGCAGGCCUAACACAUGCAAGUCGAGCGGUAACAUUUCUAGCUUGCUAGAAGAUGACGAGCGGCGGACGGGUGAGUAAUGCUUGGGAACAUGCCUUUAGGUGGGGGACAACAGUUGGAAACGACUGCUAAUACCGCAUAAUGUCUACGGACCAAAGUGGGGGACCUUCGGGCCUCACGCCUAAAGAUUGGCCCAAGUGGGAUUAGCUAGUUGGUGAGGUAAUGGCUCACCAAGGCGACGAUCCCUAGCUGGUUUGAGAGGAUGAUCAGCCACACUGGGACUGAGACACGGCCCAGACUCCCUACGGGAGGCAGCAGUGGGGAAUAUUGCACAAUGGGCGCAAGCCUGAUGCAGCCAUGCCGCGUGUGUGAAGAAGGCCUUCGGGUUGUAAAGCACUUUCAGUAAGGAGGAAAGGUUGGAUGUUAAUAGCA
rnacentral:rRNA from 1 species